AAUCAACGCUGGCGGCGUGCCUCAGACAUGCAAGUCGAACGCGAAAGUCCCCUUCGGGGGAUAAGUAGAGUGGCGUCCGGGUGAGUAACACGUAGGUAAUCUACCUUCGGGUGGGGAAUAACCCAGGGAAACUUGGGCUAAUACCGCAUAAUGCAGCGGCACCACAUGGUGACAGUUGUUAAAGCGGGGGGAUCUUCGGAUCUCGCGCCUGAAGAGGAGCCUGCGGCAGAUUAGCUAGUUGGUAAGGUAACGGCUUACCAAGGCGACGAUCUGUAGCCGGCCUGAGAGGGCGGUCGGCCACACUGACACUGACAUACGGGUCAGACUCCUACGGGAGGCAGCAGUGGGGAAUCUUGCGCAAUGGGCGAAAGCCUGACGCAGCGACGCCGCGUGAGGGAUGACGGCCU
rnacentral:rRNA from 1 species